UAGAAGUCUACUAGCAAAGAAACUUCUUGAAAGAAAAAAAAAAAUCAAUAAAAAAAUAACGUAAUUCAAUCUCAAAACGAAAAACCUUCUUUGCCCAGGUGAACCACUCAAUCCCUGAAGCUUUCGAAUUCCAAUCCUCAAACAUGGAAUUCAGUUCCUUCGAAAAUCUCCAACCAUCUUUCACGGUUCCCAGAACCCUGAAAAUACCCUUUCUUACUUCUUCGAUUCUACCCUCGAAUAAUCUCACACCUCUUCCGAAAAUUCUACGAAUCCUUUGGGAAAUCUAUGCUGUUUCAAAAUUUCAGAGCCCGCAUCUUGUUCAAACAAUCUCUGAAGGCCGUUGCGGCGACGACGACGUUUGCUGUGAUUGACGAACGUACCGGAUCCACAAAGUGGUUCAUUAGUUUAUAAACUUGAAGAGCUGCUACUAAAGUGAGAAGAUUGAGACUACUAGCUGAUUCAAUGGCGUUGAUGGGAUGAAAUUAGAUUUUGCGGACAAUCAAGAGUAGUUUGAUCUCUUUGAGAAGUACAAGCUUGUGAUUGAUAUAUGGUUUUUGGCGAAGGAUGUUGGAGUAUUGGACGUAGUCUAUGUUGCAUAGGUACAGGAAAGGUUAUUGAACAAAUAAAAGAAAAGCUUUUACUAUCUGAUCAGGACCUACAUACUAGUCAGUUGGAGCAAGGCUUAUGGUUUAUAACAAUAGACAACUUUUGAAAACCAGUCCAGAUGAAUGGCUAAUGAUGAUAUCGAUGAAGAAUUUUAAGAUUUAGAAGUACAAGAGAUGAAGACAGAUGUUUAUGUUCAAGUGUACGUUAUUUGGAUUGUGAAAAUGAUAAUUGACAUUUUGAGUUAACAAUACCCAAUUAAAUAUUCGAAUACUUUAUUGUGA